AGUCGGAGGGAUCCGGCCUUCGGGACGGAUCGAGUGGCGGACGGGUGCGUAACACGUGGGCGACCUGCCGCUUGGAGGGGGAUACCCCGCGGAAACGUGGGUUAAGCCCGCAUACGCUGAUCGGGGUGAUGCCCGAUCAGGAAAACCGGGGCUGUAAGAGGUUCUGGUGCCGAGCGAGGGGCCUGCGGCCGAUUAGCUAGUUGGUGGGGUAACGGCUCACCAAGGCGACGAUCGGUAGCUGGUCUGAGAGGACGAUCAGCCACACUGGGAUUGAGAACGGCCCAGACUCCUACGGGGGGCAGCAGUGAGGGAUCUUCGGCAAUGGGGGCAACCCUGACCGAGCGACGCCGCGUGCGGGAGGACGGCCUUCGGGUCGUAAACCGCUUUUCUUGGGGACGAGGCACGGGUGGUGCGAGCCACCCGAGGGACGGUACCUGAGGAAGAAGCCUCGGCUAACUACGUGCCAGCAGCCGCGGUAAUACGUAGGAGGCGAGCGUUGUCCGGAGUUACUGGGCGUAAAGGGUGCGUAGGCGGCCGCGCGCGUGGCGGGUGAAAUCUCCCGGCUUACCCGGGAGGGGGCUUGCCAGACGGCGCGGCUUGAGGGACGGAGAGGGGCGUGGAAUUCCGGGUGGAGCGGUGAAAUGCGUAGAGAUCCGGAGGAACACCGACGGCGUAGGCAGCGCCCUGGCCGUGCAAUAACCCUGACGCUGAAGCACGAAAGCUGGGGGAGCGAACAGGAUUAGAUACCCUGGUAGUCCCAGCCCUAAACGAUGUCCACCGGGUGCUGGGGGUAUCGACCCCCUCGG
rnacentral:rRNA from 1 species